rnacentral:rRNA from 1 species
GACGAACGCUGGCGGCGUGCCUAAUACAUGCAAGUAGAACGCUGAAGAGAGGAGCUUGCUCUUCUUGGAUGAGUUGCGAACGGGUGAGUAACGCGUAGGUAACCUGCCUUGUAGCGGGGGAUAACUAUUGGAAACGAUAGCUAAUACCGCAUAACAAUGGAUGACACAUGUCAUUUAUUUGAAAGGGGCAAUUGCUCCACUACAAGAUGGACCUGCGUUUUAUUAGCUAGUAGGUGAGGUAAUGGCUCACCUAGGCGACGAUACAUAGCCGACCUGAGAGGGUGAUCGGCCACACUGGGACUGAGACACGGCCCAGACUCCUACGGGAGGCAGCAGUAGGGAAUCUUCGGCAAUGGGGGCAACCCUGACCGAGCAACGCCGCGUGAGUGAAGAAGGUUUUCGGAUCGUAAAGCUCUGUUGUAAGUCAAGAACGGGUGUGAGAGUGGAAAGUUCACACUGUGACGGUAGCUUACCAGAAAGGGACGGCUAACUACGUG